rnacentral:rRNA from 1 species
GACGAACGCUGGCGGCGCGCUUAACACAUGCAAGUCGAACGGAAAGGCCUGCUUUCCCUUGUGGAUUGCGGGUACUCGAGUGGCGAACGGGUGAGUAACACGUGAGUGAUCUGCCCCCAACUUGGGUAUAAGCCUGGGAAACUGGGUCUAAUUCCCGAUAGGACUGCAGGGUGGUGCCUGUGGUGGAAAACGAUUUUCUAGUGGGUGGGGAUGAGCUCGCGGCCUAUCAGCUUGUUGGUGGGGUAAUGGCCUACCAAGGCGGCGACGGGUAGCCGGCCUGAGAGGGUGGACGGCCACAUUGGGACUGGGAUACGGCCCAGACUGCUACGGGAGGCAGCAGUGGGGAAUAUUGCACAAUGGGCGGAAGCCUGAUGCAGCGACGCCGCGUGGGGGAUGACGGCCUUCGGGUUGUAAACUCCUUUCGACCGCGAGGAAGCCACCUGGUUGGAAGGGUGGUGACGGUAGUGGUAGAAGAAGCACCGGCUAACUACGUG